rnacentral:lncRNA from 1 species
UUGGCUCCUAGGAUUGUGUAUUUUUGCAUUUCUGUGUUUUCUUUUUGUGUCUCUGUUGAUAAUGGUUGCACUUUGUUUCCUAACUUUGAUGUGGUGAAAUCAAUCAUGGAUUCUAAUGAAGUUGCACAAUACUUCUCCUCUCCUUUAAUACCUGCGGAAAUUUUUUUUUUAAACUCCGUGUCAAAUCACCAGAUUAAAAUUGUUUUCUUAAUCUAUUAACUUUUGUAUCAAGUUAAUAUAAAAAAAAAAAAUUGAAACAAAGAGAAAUUUUUUGUGUAUAUAUUUUAAUUUCAUUAGUAAUAGAGUGAUAAUAUUCCAUAGUAAGUUAAAUUGCACUUACUAUAUCCUAGUAAAAUCAUGAUUGGUUUGCAAAAACUAAUAUUUUUUUAAAAAAAUUAAUCUAGUAGUACUAUAUAAUGAUGCAUUUAAUUGAAUCUCGACACUGUAAAUACUAAUCCCUCAAUCUCUAUUUAGUUGUCCACUUUAGAAAAGACAUACAUAUUAACAUAAUAAUAAUUAACAUGGUGAAGUUAUAAUUUUAUCCUUAUUAAAUAUAAUUUUAAAAAAAAUGAAUUAAAACACAGAAAUAUUCAAAAAGUUUAAAUGAGAGUAUAAUAGAAUUUUUUUUUGUUCUUUCUUGAUUUGUCAAAAUGAACAAAUAAAUAGGGACAUCUAAAAAAGGAAAUAUGGACAAAUAAAUAGGGACAGAGAGAGUAUUUAUCUCAAAUUACCUACUUACCUUUUUUUUUAAAGAAAGAAUGAUUCUUAUUUUUUUUUUUGGAUUUUUUCUAUGUUUGAAGCUUCAACUAAAUUUAAAUUUGAAUUUUAUUCUGCAAAACUCACUCGAGGGUGACGCUCCCAACAUGAUUUUUUCCAUACGCAGAGCUCAAACUCUGGUUAAGGAUGAAGUACUCCUAGUGAUGCACCAUACUUAAUAAAAAGAUUUUAAAAGUGUAUCUCUUUUUUCUCAUAUCUCGUGUCAAAGUCAAACAACAUCACAUAAAUUGAAGCGGGAAAGAGUAUACCUGGCUCUUCACAUUCUCUUACUGUCUUCUUCAUAAUCUGACCUUCUUCACUAUCCUCAUCCACUGAAAACUUGUGAAGUAUCUCCGGCAUCUUCUCUGAGCUAAACGGAAUCGAAUCCGCCUCUUGACGGGGCAAAAACGAAGCUCCAUUGCCAUUUUCCACAAACUUCAACUUCAUGUUACUUCCCUCAUGCAAAUCUUUUUCCAGGAAAAAUAACGCCACGUUAGGGUUAUCGUUAAGUUGAUCGUCUUUCGCCGCGUAAUUGUAAACAAACGGUGAGGGUCCAGGGUGAACACCCACGGAGACUGGUGGUUUUCCAUGGUGGCCGGGGGUUGUAACACCAACUCCUCCUUUAC